rnacentral:rRNA from 1 species
GGAUGGGGGGAUCUUAGGACCUCUCGCUACAGGGGCGGCCGAUGGCAGAUUAGCUAGUUGGUGGGGUAAAGGCCUACCAAGGCGACGAUCUGUAGCUGGUCUGAGAGGACGACCAGCCACACUGGGACUGAGACACGGCCCAGACUCCUACGGGAGGCAGCAGUGGGGAAUUUUGGACAAUGGGGGCAACCCUGAUCCAGCAAUGCCGCGUGUGUGAAGAAGGCCUUCGGGUUGUAAAGCACUUUUGUCCGGAAAGAAAACGCUCUGGUUAAUACCCGGGGCGGAUGACGGUACCGGAAGAAUAAGCACCGGCUAACUACGUGCCAGCAGCCGCGGUAAUACGUAGGGUGCAAGCGUUAAUCGGAAUUACUGGGCGUAAAGCGUGCGCAGGCGGUCCGCUAAGACAGAUGUGAAAUCCCCGGGCUUAACCUGGGAACUGCAUUUGUGACUGGCGGG